CUCGUAGGUGGUUGCGUAAGUCGGAUGUGAAAACUCAGGGCUUAACUCUGAGACGCCAUCCGAUACUGCGCUGACUUGAGUCCGGUAGAGGAGUGUGGAAUCCCUAGUGUAGCGGUGAAAUGCGCAGAUAUUAGGAGGAACACCUAUUGCGAAGGCAGCACUCUGGGCCGGUACUGACACUGAGGAGCGAAAGCGUGGGUAGCAAACAGGAUUAGAUACCCUGGCAGUCC
rnacentral:rRNA from 1 species